GGAUGUAAGCGCUAUCUGGCAGUGACAUCUGUCACCCCACUGAUUGCUAGGGUUGAUUUGGCUGAUCUGGCUGGCUAGGCAGGUGUCCCUGUCGUCCUCCCUCACCACUCCAUGUGUGUCCCUCCCAAAGCUGUGUGCUCAGUUGAAGAGGACGGCCUUCCCCAAUAGAGACUGAACUGUCUUAGGUCGAGGGUAUAUGAGUUUAUCUCAGUGAAUAAACUCCUUAUUAUUGUAGUUUUGUAAUGAACUGAGACUGAAAAAUAUUAUACACUAU
rnacentral:sRNA from 1 species